rnacentral:rRNA from 1 species
AACGCGUGGGAAUCUGCCCUUAGAUUCGGAAUAACAGCUGGAAACGGCUGCUAAUACCGGAUGAUGACGAAAGUCCAAAGAUUUAUCGCCUGAGGAUGAGCCCGCGUUGGAUUAGGUAGUUGGUGGGGUAAAGGCCUACCAAGCCGACGAUCCAUAGCUGGUCUGAGAGGAUGAUCAGCCACACUGGGACUGAGACACGGCCCAGACUCCUACGGGAGGCAGCAGUGGGGAAUAUUGGACAAUGGGCGAAAGCCUGAUCCAGCAAUGCCGCGUGAGUGAUGAAGGCCCUAGGGUUGUAAAGCUCUUUUACCCGGGAAGAUAAUGACUGUACCGGGAGAAUAAGCCCCGGCUAACUCCGUGCCAGCAGCCGCGGUAAUACGGAGGGGGCUAGCGUUGUUCGGAAUUACUGGGCGUAAAGCGCACGUAGGCGGCUUUGUAAGUCAGAGGUGAAAGCCUGGAGCUCAACUCCAGAACUGCCUUUGAGACUGCAUCGCUUGAAUCCAGGAGAGGUCAGUGGAAUUCCGAGUGUAGAGGUGAAAUUCGUAGAUAUUCGGAAGAACACCAGUG